GGGAGGUAGUGACAAUAAAUAACAAUACGGGGCUCUUUCGGGUCUCGUAAUUGGAAUGAGUACAAUUUAAAUCUCUUAACGAGGAACAAUUGGAGGGCAAGUCUGGUGCCAGCAGCCGCGGUAAUUCCAGCUCCAAUAGCGUAUAUUAAAGUUGUUGCAGUUAAAAAGCUCGUAGUUGAAUUUCGGGAUUAGUACGCUGGUCGUGCCUUCGGUACGUACUGGUGUUACUGAUUCCUACCUUCUGACGAACCAUCAUGUCAUUAGUUUGGUGUGGUGGGGAAUCAGGACUGUUACUUUGAAAAAUUAGAGUGUUUAAAGCAAGCAUUAGCUUGAAUACAUUAGCAUGGAAUAAUGAAGUAGGACGUUUGAUCCUAUUUCGUUGGUUUCUAGGAUCGACGUAAUGAUUAAUAGGGAUAGUUGGG
rnacentral:rRNA from 1 species